GACGCUGGCGGCAGGCCUAAGACAUGCAAGUCGAGCGAGAAAGCCCUUCGGGGUGAGUAGAGCGGCGGACGGGUGAGUAACGCGUAGGAAUCUACCCAGUAGUGGGGGACAACUAGCGGAAACGCUAGCUAAUACCGCAUACGCCCUACGGGGGAAAGCGGGGGACCUUCGGGCCUCGUGCUAUUGGAUGAGCCUGCGUAAGAUUAGCUUGUUGGUGAGGUAAUGGCUCACCAAGGCUACGAUCUUUAGCUGGUCUGAGAGGAUGAUCAGCCACACCGGGACUGAGACACGGCCCGGACUCCUACGGGAGGCAGCAGUCGGGAAUAUUGCGCAAUGGGCGAAAGCCUGACGCAGCCAUGCCGCGUGUGUGAAGAAGGCCUUAGGGUUGUAAAGCACUUUCAAUUGGGAGGAAAAGCUAAUGGUUAAUAACUAUUAGCCCUGACGUUACCUUUAGAAGAAGCACCGGCUAACUCCGUGCCAGCAGCCGCGGUAAUACGGAGGGUGCAAGCGUUAAUCGGAAUUACUGGGCGUAAAGCGCGCGUAGGCGGUUUUUUAAGUCGGAUGUGAAAGCCCCGGGCUCAACCUGGGAACUGCAUCCGAUACUGGAUGACUAGAAUGCGGGAGAGGGAGGUAGAAUUCCAUGUGUAGCAGUGAAAUGCGUAGAUAUAUGGAGGAAUACCAGUGGCGAAGGCGGCCUCCUGGCUCGACAUUGACGCUGAGGUGCGAAAGCGUGGGGAGCAAACGGGAUUAGAUACCCCGGUAGUCCACGCCGUAAACGAUGUCUACUAGCUGUAGGGGUACUUGAGACCUUUGUAGCGCAGCUAACGCAAUAAGUAGACCGCCUGGGGAGUACGGCCGCAAGUUAAACUCAAAAAAGAAAUGCG
rnacentral:rRNA from 1 species